rnacentral:rRNA from 1 species
CCUACGGGGGGCAGCAGUGAGGAAUAUUGGUCAAUGGACGAGAGUCUGAACCAGCCAAGUAGCGUGAAGGAUGACUGCCCUAUGGGUUGUAAACUUCUUUUAUAUGGGAAUAAAAUGUUCCACGUGUGGGAUUUUGUAUGUACCAUAUGAAUAAGGAUCGGCUAACUCCGUGCCAGCAGCCGCGGUAAUACGGAGGAUCCGAGCGUUAUCCGGAUUUAUUGGGUUUAAAGGGAGCGUCGGUGGAUUGUUAAGUCAGUUGUGAAAGUUUGCGGCUCAACCGUAAAAUUGCAUUUGAAACUGGCAGUCUUGAGUACAGUAGAGGUGGGCGGAAUGCGUGGUGUAGCGGUGAAAUGCUUAGAGAUCACGAAGAACUCCGAUUGCGAAGGCAGUUCACUGGACUGCAACUGACACUGAGGCUCGAAAGUGUGGGUAUCAAACAGGAUUAGAUACCCCAGUAGUC